rnacentral:tRNA from 3 species
GGGUGAUUAGCUCAGCUGGGAGAGCACCUCCCUUACAAGGAGGGGGUCGGCGGUUCGAUCCCGUCAUCACCACC